CAGCAGCCACGGGAAAACCGAGGGUGCAAGCGUUAAUCGGAAUUACUGGGCGUAAAGCGCGCGUAGGUGGUUUGUUAAGUUGGAUGUGAAAUCCCCGGGCUCAACCUGGGAACUGCAUCCAAAACUGGCAAGCUAGAGUAUGGUAGAGGGUGGUGGAAUUUCCUGUGUAGCGGUGAAAUGCGUAGAUAUAGGAAGGAACACCAGUGGCGAAGGCGACCACCUGGACUGAUACUGACACUGAGGUGCGAAAGCGUGGGGAGCAAACAGGAUUAGAUACCCCUGUAGUCCCUGUCUCUUAUAA
rnacentral:rRNA from 1 species